rnacentral:rRNA from 1 species
UACAGAGGUCCCGAGCGUUGUUCGGAUUCACUGGGCGUAAGGGGUGCGUAGGUGGUGAGGUAAGUCGGAUGUGAAAGCUCGGAGCUCAACUCCGAAAUGGCAUUGGAAACUACCUUGCUCGAGGGUUGGAGGGGGGACUGGAAUGCUUGGUGUAGCAGUGAAAUGCGUAGAUAUCAAGCGGAACACCAGUGGCGAAGGCGAGUCCCUGGACAACUCCUGACACUGAGGCACGAAAGCUAGGGGAGCAAACAGG